UCCAAGUCGCAACCACAAUGAUGGCACUC
rnacentral:sRNA from 1 species